AAGAAUUAUUAUACAUGCUUACAGUAAACAUUUUUUCUCACAAAAAAGAAAUGAAAAAGAAAAAAGAAUAAAGUCUCACCCUUGUUCCUAAAACUACUAAAAGGCAAAAAUAAAGUCACGUUUGUGAACAAAGAUGGAGGACUACAUGCUAUCACUGCUUAACGUUACCAAUAAGCCAAAUCGGAAUUAUCAGUACGCAUGUGCGUUUAUCCCUCAAUAGCUUCCGGUUCAGAGUUCAUCCCACACUACGUUAUCAACAAAGCUCGACGAAGCCAUACUAUCGCAGUGGAACGACCUGCUAUUUGUAGCGACUAUUAAGUGUUUACACUGCUUAAAUUCUUUUUAAGGCAAUAUGCCAGGUCCCCAUAGUUCAGUGCGGGACUGCCACAACAGUACCCGUGGGCUAAAGAAGUGGAUGGAAGAGUUUUGCCCUAUUCAUGAAUGCAAUAAAGGAACCUCGCGCUGUAUAUGUGACCCGCCUUAUGUACUCGUCACAUUUCCUACUGAAAGAAAAGAUCCAGAACGUUGUGCCGAAUGGAUUAAAUCAAUGAACAGGAAGACCAUAAAAACAGGAAAAAACUGGGCACCACACAAGAACAGCCGAGUAUGUUCCAUGCAUUUUGUUGAGGGUGCACCUUCCACCUCCUUUCCAAACCCUACACUGAAUCUAGGAUAUCCAGUACCAUCAACUAGUACAGGAAAGAAAUGGGCACCACCAAAACCACAUACAUCUGUUGCAUCGAAGAGGCAGAAAUUCAACUUCCAAAGCUUCAGCACAGAGGAUGUACAGAAUCCAGGCCCAUGCAAGGAAACGAGUGGGAGUGACCCUGGAACUGGCCCCAGCAUAGAAGAUGCAUAGAUUCAAGCCCCAAGCAAGGAAUAUUCCCAAAAAAACAGUGGGAGUGACCCUGGAACUGACGUAGAGACAAUUCUAGCUCAUGAAGACCAUACUUACACAAAAACUGGUGAAUGUAACUGUCAAUCAAACUGUAACUGUGAUUGUAUUGCUAGGCUUAGUAAUAAAAUAAUUCAACUGGAAAAUACACUGAAAAUGUUAGCGAUAAAAUCAGACGAAAGUUCUUGUAGUGGUAUUAGUCUAGCAGAUAUGAUGGACAAUACAAUUUGUGCUAAUGCUGACAACAAAAAGUACUUCACAGACAGAUUUCUUUCAGAUGACAGGUCAGUGAAACUAAAAACCAGUCUUCCAAACAAAGGAACUUUCAACAAGCUGCUUCAGGUCCUGACUCCAAGAGCAGCAAAAAUGAGAUAUUGGGCUGGAACUCAUAAAGUUAUUUCUUCUAAAAUUAGAAAAUUUGUUCAAACACCACUGUAUAUGGUACCAGUUGCUUUUCCAAAACACACCCAUAAGUUGUGUGGAACACUUUUGAGUCUUUGUGAUGGUGUGCAGUCACAUUUCAACUAGCAUAUCUGGGAAUCUUUAGAAACUUCAUGGUAGAAAACCUCUUUCAGCCAAGCAUUUUGUGAAGCAAAAUAGCUAAAUGCUUUGCCUGGAAAAGAAAAAUAAUAUGUUUGUUAUGCAGAUUUCAUAAAAUGAAAGCUAGCAAGUUCAAGAAAUAUGUAUAUUUAGCUUGUAAAAUCUGUAGGCCUAUAAUAAUUAUUAACAUGAUAAUAAACUAAAAAAUGAAAAUCAUUAAUGUCACAUGUUAAUGUGAUAUUAAGGACCUGUUAAAAAAUAAAUGCAAAUCAAAAAUAAUACACAAAUGUCAAAAUCAUUUCACUGA